rnacentral:rRNA from 1 species
UACGGAGGGUGCGAGCGUUGUCCGGAAUUAUUGGGCGUAAAGAGCUCGUAGGCGGUCUGUCGCGUCUGCUGUGAAAACUCAGGGCUUAACCCUGAGCUUGCAGUGGGUACGGGCAGACUAGAGUGUGGUAGGGGAGACUGGAAUUCCUGGUGUAGCGGUGAAAUGCGCAGAUAUCAGGAGGAACACCGAUGGCGAAGGCAGGUCUCUGGGCCACUACUGACGCUGAGGAGCGAAAGCAUGGGGAGCGAACAGG